rnacentral:rRNA from 1 species
UAGGGAAUCUUGCGCAAUGGGCGAAAGCCUGACGCAGCGACGCCGCGUGCGGGAUGAAGGCCUUCGGGUUGUAAACCGCUUUCAGCAGGGACGACAUUGACGGUACCUGCAGAAGAAGCCCCGGCCAACUACGUGCCAGCAGCCGCGGUAAUACGUAGGGGGCUAGCGUUGUCCGGAUUUAUUGGGCGUAAAGAGCUCGUAGGCGGUUCGGUAAGUCGACUGUGAAAUCUCCACGCUCAACGUGGAGGGGUCAGUCGAUACUGCCGUGACUCGAGUCCGGUAGGGGAGUGUGGAAUUCCCGGUGUAGCGGUGAAAUGCGCAGAGAUCGGGAGGAACACCCGUAGCGAAGGCGGCACUCUGGGCCGGUACUGACGCUGAGGAGCGAAAGCGUGGGGAGCAAACA